rnacentral:rRNA from 1 species
GACGAACGCUGGCGGCGUGCCUAAUACAUGCAAGUAGAACGCUGAAGGAGGAGCUUGCUUCUCUGGAUGAGUUGCGAACGGGUGAGUAACGCGUAGGUAACCUGCCUGGUAGUGGGGGAUAACUAUUGGAAACGAUAGCUAAUACCGCAUAACAGCAGCCGUUCCAUGAUAACUGUUCGAAAGGUGCACUUGCACCGCUACCACACGGACCUGCGUUGUAUUAGCUAGUUGGGGGGGUAACGGCUCACCAAGGCGACGAUACAUAGCCGACCUGAGAGGGUGAUCGGCCACACUGGGACUGGGACAGGGCCCAGACGCCUACGGGAGGCAGCAGUAGGGAAGCGUCGGCAAUGGACGGAAGUCUGACCGAGCAACGCCGCGUGAGUGAAGAAGGGUUUCGGAUCGUAAAGCUCUGUUGUAAGGGAAGAACGAGUGUGAGAGUGGAAAGUUCACACUGUGACGGUAUCUGACCAGAAAGGGACGGCUAACUACGUG